GACGAACGCUGGCGGCGUGCCUAAUACAUGCAAGUAGAACGCUGAAGGAGGAGCUUGCUUCUCCGGAUGAGUUGCGAACGGGUGAGUAACGCGUAGGUAACCUGCCUGGUAGCGGGGGAUAACUAUUGGAAACGAUAGCUAAUACCGCAUAAGAGUAGAUGUUGCAUGACAUUUGCUUAAAAGGUGCAAUUGCAUCACUACCAGAUGGACCUGCGUUGUAUUAGCUAGUUGGUGGGGUAACGGCUCACCAAGGCGACGAUACAUAGCCGACCUGAGAGGGUGAUCGGCCCCACUGGGACUGAGACACGGCCCAGACUCCUACGGGAGGCAGCAGUAGGGAAUCUUCGGCAAGGGACGGAAGUCUGACCGAGCAACGCCGCGUGAGUGAAGAAGGUUUUCGGAUCGUAAAGCUCUGUUGUAAGAGAAGAACGAGUGUGAGAGUGGAAAGUUCACACUGUGACGGUAUCUUACCAGAAAGGGACGGCUAACUACGUG
rnacentral:rRNA from 1 species